rnacentral:rRNA from 1 species
UACGGAGGGUGCAAGCGUUAUCCGGAUUCACUGGGUUUAAAGGGUGCGUAGGCGGGCUUGUAAGUCAGUGGUGAAAGCCCGGGGCUCAACUCCGGAACUGCCGUUGAUACUGCAAGUCUUGAGUACACUUGAGGUGGGCGGAAUACAUCAUGUAGUGGUGAAAUACUUAGAUAUGAUGUAGAACACCGAUUGCGAAGGCAGCUCACUAAAUUGUAACUGACGCUGAGGCACGAAAGCGUGGGGAUCAAACAGG